AAGUCGUAACAAGGUUUCCGUAGGUGAACCUGCGGAAGGAUCAUUACCAAAUCCAAAUACCUAACCCCAUGUGAACUAUUGUUUUAGUCUGUCUUUGGGAGAAAGCUUUAUUGUUUUCUCCCAAUAGAGUCCGGCGCAAUGUUCUCGUUGUGUCCAGACUCGAAACCCCCUUUUAAACCACUUGAUUUUUCUGUUGGAAUUUUCUUUUAUUAAUUAUAAACAAAAGACAACUUUUAACGGCGGAUCUCUUGGCUCGU
rnacentral:misc_RNA from 1 species